AUGGCCGCGCUGCACGCCAAGGCCGGCGGGCCCCCGCAGAUCCCGGACACCCGCCGGGAGCUCGCCGAGCUGGUGAAACGCAAACAGGAGCUGGCGGAGACGCUGGCAAACCUGGAGCGGCAGAUCUACGCCUUCGAGGGCAGCUACCUGGAGGACACGCAGAUGUACGGGAACAUCAUCCGCGGCUGGGAUCGCUACCUCACCAACCAGAAGAACUCCAACAGCAAGAACGACCGCAGGAACCGCAAGUUCAAGGAGGCCGAGAGGCUCUUCAGCAAGUCCUCGGUCACCUCAGCAGCGGCUGUCAGUGCAUUAGCUGGAGUCCAGGACCAGCUCAUUGAGAAGCGGGAGCCAGGCAGUGGCACAGAGAGUGACACUUCUCCAGACUUCCACAACCAGGAGAAUGAGCCUAACCAGGAGGAUGCUGAAGAGCUGGAUGGCUCCAUGCAGGGUGUGAAGCCCCAGAAAGCUGCUUCCUCCACCUCCUCUGGGAGCCACCACAGCAGCCACAAAAAGAGAAAGAACAAAAACAGACACAGGUCAGUGGGACCAGCAGCCUGCUCGCCACACCUGGACAGUUGGCUGGGGAUGGAUUGAAUUUAUUGCCUGAGGGGAACCAGUUGGAAUAAGGGACAUCUGGGGUCAGUUGUUUGGGUGGUUUUCUUGGUUUUGGAAGAAGAGGGGAAAGUGCUGAGGAAGUUAAACAAGCAGCACAGGUUGCUCACUCCAGCUGUGGCACAGCUGUGCUUCUGGGCAGCUUCCCCAGCUCUCCCAUCUCUCCAGGAUAAAGUUUAUUCCUUCCAGCAGGUCCUGACCUCCUGAGCUUGCUGCUUGGUUUCUGCAGAGCCCAGUAGGACAGGAAUGUUAGUGCUUUCUUUGAAGGAGGGUGGAAAGCAAAUGGGAAUGGUUUUGGGGUUUUGGACACUCCCAGGAUCUGGAUAUCCAUUCCAGCCCCUUCCAGCUCUCACAUCCCAGCUGAGUCUCAGUGCUGGCAUAGGGGAGUGGCUGUGUCACCUUCACCUCAGUGUUUGUUAUUAAACUGACCUGAAAUUCAAGUGAAACAGAUUCCUUGAACUCUUUUCUGGUUGGAUUUACCUGUCCAGCUCUGUCCCUAAGGUGUAAUGAGGGCGAUGAGCUGGUCCCUGUGCCCCUGGCCCAGUGCUGGCAUUGACAGUGCCUGUGAGUCAGGCCCUGAGGGAGGAAAACCAUGGAGAGGAGUCACUGCAGAGCUGUGCCCCUCUGGAAGGAUUGCUGAAGCUGGGGCCUGAGGAUUUCACAGAAUUAAUGGAGCUUUUAAAAGUCCCUAGUGUCUGUGCUGGCUCUGAGCUGUUGGCUGUGCCUAGGGACAGGCUCUUCUCCUUAAAGGACCUGCCGUGCAAUUAGAGAAAGGGUUUAAAGUGGUAAAAGUUUACAAGCGGGGCUGGGGACAAUUGGGGCGGGGACACGAGGUAGGUACAAUGCUUGAAAAAUGCUUAACUCCUUUUUUUGCCUUCAUUAAGUGUUGAGUCAUUAGCAUGUCUUUAAUUCUUAGGUCAGAAUUUCCUUCCUACAGCAGCCUGAAUUGGGCAAAUGUCAGAAAGAACUGGAUAUCCCUUUGGUUCCUCAUGAGCUGGGAAUCCAAAGAAGUUCAAAUCUCUUUUUUUGCCUGUAGAUAUUUGGAAGAAGUUCAGGAAUAACACAAGAAACUACAUCCGUGAGCAAGUCCAGAGAAACUACCUGUAAAACUGAAGUACAGCUUAAGAAAACUGCCAUUUCAAACAAAUUAUAAAAUAUUCUCCCUGGACAAACCAUGGCCAACAACAUGGUGGGGUGCAGGGCAGGUGCUGGAACUGACAUAAAUCCCUUUGCUCCAGUCCAUGACGGGGACUUUAGGAACAGGAGCUGGGAGGAAGCUGCCCCCCAACAGGUUGUGUGGCUUGGGUUCCCUCACAUCCCCCCUCUGCAGCUUUGGCUGCUGCUGCCAGGCUGUUGGACAGAGGAGCCCUGCCCUGCUCACCUGUGGCAGCUUCUGUGUUCCCAGGGUCAGACACUUCGAGGGGCUCAGUGAGGCAGGAACCGACUGUUUGUAAUGCUUAGCAGGGCCAGAUAGAUAAUUAAAAAAGAUAAAAAGAUAAUUAAAUUUGUCUGUAAUAAAAGCUCUUUUAAAAUUGUGAUUGCUGUUACUGACUAUCCCCUAAAUUUUGGCAGACAAGACCAAACAAUUCUCAAGUAUAUUUAGGCUAAAAAAACCCAGCAACAACCCAGUCUCUGAUGGUGCAGCGAGGGCAUUCCAGGCCCCACAACCCCACAGGUGCUCGGGUCUGUCCCCUGAGGGGUCUGGCAUGAAAAAGAGAAAAAUAAAAAGAAAUGUUGGCUUUUCUCUUUAUUCAGAAGCUCUUCUAUUUGCCAGCACGACUCUGGGUUUCACUCCCCGGUUCCUGGAGGACUGGGAGCUGCUGGGGAAGGGCCUCACUGGGGUUCCCACGUGGGGAGCUGGGUCAGCACGGGGCCCUUUGGCUGCAGGUGCACACAGAGCCUCAGGUGUGGGCACAGAGCUGUGCUGUCCCUCUGCUCCCUGCCACACCACAGCGAGGCCAGUGUGGAUAUUUUGUGUGUGUGUGUGCUCGGCUGCUGUCACAGCUAACAAGUGUUGGAGGGAGCCCGGUGCUGUUUGCUCUUAGCAGUCAGUCCUGGAGUGGGAUUCCGUGACCAGUCCUUCAGCCGUGGGCAGAGCUGUGUCUGGAGGCCGUGCUGUGGCACUUCUAGGAGGGGGUGGGACAGUCACCAAACUGGUCAGCUCUGCCCAAAUGUCCCUGGGCCAGCGCUGCCAGGGACAGCAGUGCUGGGGGUGUGGGGGAGCAGCCCAGUGCAGGGUUGGGCACCAAGUUGUGUGUCACCUCUGCCUGAACAGCUUUGCCUUGCCCUGGCAGCCCAGCCCCCUCCCCAGCCCACCCUGUUUCCCCACCCCUCACUUUGGUUUUCCAAGCCCUCGGGUUCCUCUCCUGCCCUUGAGUGAGCUCUGCCCUCUCUGGGUCUGGCAGCUGCCCCUCUUUCAGCUCUUAAAAUCCCCUGCAUAAACCAAACCCACCUCUCUGCUAGCACCUCUUGUUCCCAAAAAUCCAGUGGGGAGGGGGACUCUGUAUUGCCAACCCAGAGUGCUUUUUGUGUCCAGUCCUGGUGAAGAUAUCUGAAAAACUUGAUGGUGUUUGAACACUGGCUUUAUUAUUUAUUUAAUUUCACUUUUUAGCAAUCUCUCUAGGGUGGCUAAUCAAUUAAUUGAUUUAAUUCAUUAGUAUAUUAAUUUCUAUUGCUUUCUUCCUUUCAAAUGCUGCCCCUCAGCCCGUCUGGCAUGUUUGAUUAUGACUUUGAGUAAGUUUGACUUGAAUUAGUACUUGUGCUGUGUUGUUAGUGUGUAGACACCGAUGUGCCUUUUGAGACCUCGCUAACCCCUAGUUUAUCUGUUUAAUUGUAGGUAUGUAUAUUAGGUUAGGCUGGGAAGUUUUUUUUAAAAACAGAAAAGCGUGAUGGAGGAUUGAUCUCAAGUUAAACAAAAAGCCAAGAGCCGACUACUAGAGCCAUCAGUGCUGAUGCUCCUGGGAUUUAGGUCUGUGACUCCCCACUGAGAAGCCCUGAAGCAGGAUGGCAACUGCAGCAGGAGUGACUCACUCUGAGGGACUUGGAUGGGGGGGAGGAAAUCCUGGACCAUGUACUUUGCAUCAUUUUUAAAUCACCUGAGUUGCAGGAAGACAAAGGUGGUGUAGUAGUUGUAGUAGUUCUGAAUUCCUGACUGUUCUCUGCUUCCACCUUGGUCGGGAACUUCCUGAAACAACUGAUACUGCUGCCCCCCUGUCACCUGCAGACCCACAGAGAGGCAUUUCCUUUUCCACUGGAACUGGGCUAGGAUUCAGUGUGUCCCAUCCAUGUUGUGAGACUUAGAUUACUUUUGUUGCUGAUAUUUAGCUUUGCAGGUUUGUUUUUUUUUAUUUUUGUUUUGUUUUGUUGUGCUUUUUUUAAAGCUGAAGUGUAUAGUUACAAGUUGACUUUGGAUUUCUUUGUUUAGUCCAUGUAGUGGAAGGUUCUUCAUUUUGUGGAGCAGCUCUUUUAAUUCUUACUCAAGCAGAGAAGAAGGUAGUUUAACCCUUUUCUCUUACUUUCAUUUUAAACACCAUCUCCCAAUAUUCCUCAGUGCAUUAGGUGCAGGAAGGGCCAGAGCUCAGAGCCAGCUCUUUGCUGUCUCUGACUUUGGGUGGGUUCUCUUUUUAAUACAAACUUCUGUCAUUUGUACAUAAACAAUAAAAGUUCCAUGUUCGUCUCUUC